UACGUAGGGGGCAAGCGUUGUUCGGAUUUACUGGGCGUAAAGGGCGCGCAGGCGGCUCUUCAAGUCAGAUGUGAAAGCCCCGGGCUCAACCUGGGAAUUGCAUUUGAGACUGAAUAGCUAGGGUGCGGAAGAGGGAAGCGGAAUUUCCGGUGUAGCGGUGAAAUGCGUAGAUAUCGUGAGGAACACCAGAGGCGAAGGCGGCUACCUGGACAAUUGCUGACGCUCAGGCACGAAAGCGUGGGGAGCAAAAGGG
rnacentral:rRNA from 1 species